rnacentral:rRNA from 1 species
GAUGAACGCUGGCGGCGUGCCUAAUACAUGCAAGUCGAGCGAACUGAUUAGAAGCUUGCUUCUAUGACGUUAGCGGCGGACGGGUGAGUAACACGUGGGCAACCUGCCUGUAAGACUGGGAUAACUUCGGGAAACCGAAGCUAAUACCGGAUAGGAUCUUCUCCUUCAUGGGAGAUGAUUGAAAGAUGGUUUCGGCUAUCACUUACAGAUGGGCCCGCGGUGCAUUAGCUAGUUGGUGAGGUAACGGCUCACCAAGGCAACGAUGCAUAGCCGACCUGAGAGGGUGAUCGGCCACACUGGGACUGAGACACGGCCCAGACUCCUACGGGAGGCAGCAGUAGGGAAUCUUCCACAAUGGACGAAAGUCUGACGGAGCAACGCCGCGUGAGUGAUGAAGGCUUUCGGGUCGUAAAACUCUGGUGUUAGGGAAGGACAAGUACAAGAGUAACUGCUUGUACCUUGACGGUACCUAACCAGAAAGCCACGGCUAACUACGUGCCAGCCGCCGCCGUAA